rnacentral:miRNA from 1 species
UGUCUGUAGAAGAGACAGGAUGU